GCGUCGUCGUCCGCGGUGAAACGGGAAGCCGGUGCACAAUGACUUAAGUCCAUUGUAAUCCCGGCACUGCCCCCGCAACGGUAAGUGGGUUGGAUCGGCUCAUGCCACUGCGACAGUUCGUCGUGGGAAGGCGCAGAUCCUCUUAGCCUUAGGGCGCUCGCGAGUCCGGAGACCGGCCAGGGAGUAA
rnacentral:ncRNA from 1 species